rnacentral:lncRNA from 1 species
UUGAGCAAUAGAUUUUUGGCUUGAGGAGGCAUCGUUAUGAUUGAGUAAGAGGAGGGAUGUGGAGAGUUAGACGCCGAUUUGUCUGAAGGAGUAAUUAAGUAGCUUUGUUUCGUCAUUAUAGCCGUCGCAAGCGUUAUACGGAGGAGAUAGGAAGACAGUGAGUUCUGGAAGGUCUUCUGUAGACGUCGUAACAAAAUUAGGUUGGAGUACGAAGAUGACAAAACAAAUGAGUCAUUAAAGCUAAAGAGCCUAUUACGCAGCACAUAUUCGUGGCCCAACAACUUAACAUCCAUGAUGACAUGGACAAAUGAUUGGUUGCGAAUACGUGGACAGCUUAAGAGGGCUUUAUAUUCUCUUUUUAAUAGUGUAAGAUGUUUUGUUUCGAUAUAUUUAUUUGUUUGAAAUAUCAUUAAUUUAUGUUAACAUAUUAAAUGUCUCUAUUAAUCUUUUCGUAACCAGGUUAAAAUCUUUCUUAAAAUUUAAAAUACUCUACAUUUAAUAAUAAUAAAAAAAUUCUAUCAUCUUAUGUAUAUUAUAUAUUUUCUUAUAUAUCGUCUGAUUGAUUUUGAAUUAUUUUUUGAAGUAUAGGUAAAUAACCUUUAUUUCAUAUAAAUAUAUAAUUUUAUAAAUGUGUAAUAAUUUUGAAUACUUAAAUCUGUAAAUUUUGAUAACCAAUAAAAUGAUUCAGCAAUUCUUUAAGUUUUGAAGCCAUAAUUUAUUUUCAAUAUUAAACUUUUUGGUAUUUAUUAUUUUGUAAAUAAUUAUUUGUUAUAAAAAUGUGAAAUAUGUAGUAGAUUUCAAUGUGAACAAUUCUGUAUUUAGUUACUACAUAAAAGGAUAUUGAGAACCAUUAACGUAUUCACAGAUGGUCACUUAUUUAGCUAAUCUUAAAAAUUAUCUCUUAACGUUAAAAAAUUCUUAGGUGUUGAGUUUCAGGAUAUAAUUUUGUUAACAUAUUCUCUCUCUAUUAGAAAAAAUCAGAGACGUGUAUGAAAUCGGAAGCAUAAUAUUGAAAUAUAGACAUGUACCUCUUCAUCCAUCAUCAGCAUCUCAAGGCCGAGAAGGAUGCCUCCUUUGGAACCAUUAAAGCUAAAUGGUCUAUUACGCAGCACAGAUUCGUGGCCCAACAACUUAACAUCCAUGAUGACAUGGCGCUCCUGAUGAAACCUAACUGAAGAAAAGUGGAGAAUGAACUUGGGUGGUGGUAACUGCCGUUUGAUUUGCCAUAAAGCUAGGAAUGAAUUUGAGGAUCUGAGCAAUAGAUUUUUGCCUUGAGGAGGCAUCGUUAUGAUUGAGUAAGAGGAGGGAUGUGGAGAGUUAGACGCCGAUUUGUCUGAAGGAGUAAUUAAGUAGCUUUAAUUCGUCAUUAUAGCCGUCGCAGGCGUUAUACGGAGGAGAUAGGAAGACAGUGAGUUCUGGAAGGUUUUCUGUAGACGUCGUAACAAAAUUAGAUUGGAGUAAGAAGAUGGCAAAACAAAUGGGUCAUUAAAGCUAAAUGGCCUAUUAC